rnacentral:rRNA from 1 species
AUGAACGCUAGCUACAGGCUUAACACAUGCAAGUCGAGGGGCAGCAUGGUCUUAGCUUGCUAAGGCCGAUGGCGACCGGCGCACGGGUGAGUAACACGUAUCCAACCUGCCGUCUACUCUUGGACAGCCUUCUGAAAGGAAGAUUAAUACAAGAUGGCAUCAUGAGUCCACAUGUUCACAUGAUUAAAGGUAUUCCGGUAGACGAUGGGGAUGCGUUCCAUUAGAUAGUAGGCGGGGUAACGGCCCACCUAGUCUUCGAUGGAUAGGGGUUCUGAGAGGAAGGUCCCCCACAUUGGAACUGAGACACGGUCCAAACUCCUACGGGAGGCAGCAGUGAGGAAUAUUGGUCAAUGGGCGAGAGCCUGAACCAGCCAAGUAGCGUGAAGGAUGACUGCCCUAUGGGUUGUAAACUUCUUUUAUAAAGGAAUAAAGUCGGGUAUGCAUACCCGUUUGCAUGUACUUUAUGAAUAAGGAUCGGCUAACUCCGUGCCAGCAGCCGCGGUAAUACGGAGGAUCCGAGCGUUAUCCGGAUUUAUUGGGUUUAAAGGGAGCGUAGAUGGAUGUUUAAGUCAGUUGUGAAAGUUUGCGGCUCAACCGUAAAAUUGCAGUUGAUACUGGAUAUCUUGAGUGCAGUUGAGGCAGGCGGAAUUCGUGGUGUAGCGGUGAAAUGCUUAGAUAUCACGAAGAACUCCGAUUGCGAAGGCAGCCUGCUAAGCUGCAACUGACAUUGAGGCUCGAAAGUGUGGGUAUCAAACAGGAUUAGAUACCCUGGUAGUCCACACGGUAAACGAUGAAUACUCGCUGUUUGCGAUAUACAGCAAGCGGCCAAGCGAAAGCGUUAAGUAUUCCACCUGGGGAGUACGCCGGCAACGGUGAAACUCAAAGGAAUUGACGGGGGCCCGCACAAGCGGAGGAACAUGUGGUUUAAUUCGAUGAUACGCGAGGAACCUUACCCGGGCUUAAAUUGCAGAUGAAUUACGGUGAAAGCCGUAAGCCGCAAGGCAUCUGUGAAGGUGCUGCAUGGUUGUCGUCAGCUCGUGCCGUGAGGUGUCGGCUUAAGUGCCAUAACGAGCGCAACCCUUGUUGUCAGUUACUAACAGGUCAUGCUGAGGACUCUGACAAGACUGCCAUCGUAAGAUGUGAGGAAGGUGGGGAUGACGUCAAAUCAGCACGGCCCUUACGUCCGGGGCUACACACGUGUUACAAUGGGGGGUACAGAGGGCCGCUACCACGCGAGUGGAUGCCAAUCCCAAAAACCUCUCUCAGUUCGGACUGGAGUCUGCAACCCGACUCCACGAAGCUGGAUUCGCUAGUAAUCGCGCAUCAGCCACGGCGCGGUGAAUACGUUCCCGGGCCUUGUACACACCGCCCGUCAAGCCAUGGGAGCCGGGGGUACCUGAAGUGCGUAACCGCGAGGAGCGCCCUAGGGUAAAACUGGUGACUGGGGCU